rnacentral:rRNA from 1 species
GGAAUAUUGGACAAUGGGGGAAACCCUGAUCCAGCAAUGCCGCGUGAGUGAAGAAGGCCUUAGGGUUGUAAAACUCUUUCAGCAGGGAAGAUAAUGACGGUACCUGCAGAAGAAGCUCCGGCUAACUCCGUGCCAGCAGCCGCGGUAAUACGGAGGGAGCUAGCGUUGUUCGGAAUUACUGGGCGUAAAGCGUACGUAGGCGGAUUGACAAGUUGGGGGUGAAAUCCCGGGGCUUAACCCCGGAACUGCCUUCAAAACUGUCAACCUAGAGUCCGGGAGAGGUAAGCGGAAUUCCUAGUGUAGAGGUGAAAUUCGUAGAUAUUAGGAAGAACACCAGUGGCGAAGGCGGCUUAAUGGACCGGUACUGACGCUGAGGUACGAAAGCGUGGGGAGCA